UACGAAGGGGGCUAGCGUUGCUCGGAAUCAUUGGGCGUAAAGAGCGUGUAGGCGGCUCGGUAAGUCCGCUGUGAAAGUCCAGGGCUCAACCCUGGAAUGCCAGUGGAAACUGUCGAGCUAGAGUCCGGAAGAGGCGAGUGGAAUUCCUGGUGUAGCGGUGAAAUGCGCAGAUAUCAGGAGGAACACCAAUGGCGAAGGCAGCUCGCUGGGACGGUACUGACGCUGAGACGCGAAAGCGUGGGGAGCAAACAGG
rnacentral:rRNA from 1 species